AACGAGACCUUAACCUGCUAAAUAGCCCGUAUUGCUUUGGCAGUCCGCUGACACAUUAGAGGGACUAUCGGCUCAAGCCGAUGGAAGUUUGAGGCAAUAACAGGUCUGUGAUGCCCUUAGAUGUUCUGGGCCGCACGCGCGCCCCCAUGACGGAGCCAGCGAGUACUCCCUUGGACUUCCUGCCUGGGUAAUCUUGUGAAACUC
rnacentral:rRNA from 1 species